rnacentral:misc_RNA from 1 species
CGCGUCAAACUGUGAACUGCAGGACACAUGAACAUAGACAUAUCGAACGCACACUGCGGUCCUCGGAUACUGUGCCCGGACCACUCCUGGCUGAGGGUCGUUUCCUAAACCCAGAAUGCCCGCUCCGUCGGCGGUUCGCCGCCACGUCGGACGUCGGGGCUCGAAUGGGAACUCGUCCUCGAUCCGCUCGCGCGGAUCGUCGGUCGUUUCCCGAAAACAGACGGGCACCGCUCCGCCCAGGGCGGUCGGUGUCCUCACACGCAUCCGGUCGCCGUCGACCCACAGCGACGGACGGCGGCGGCGGGCGUGCGACGACGGUGGUCGUGUCCCAGACGGUUCCGAUCGUCUUCGACGUCGACGUCGCGUUGCGCCCGCGGAGUCGUCGUCCGGUCGGCGAGCGCCGGUCGGGCAACGAGGAGAGAGAGGAGAGGCACUACGCUCGUCUCCCUAGCGCGUCGGUCAGAGUUCCGUCGCCCGGUAAGAAACUUUGAACGAGGGGGAGGUAACGUCGCAGCGCGGCGUUUCGAGUACCCCCACGUUUCGGACGGGCGUGCGUCGAGUCGGACCCUCCCGGUGUCGCGCUCCGCCCAGGAGCGCGUGCCGCGCAGAGCGGGCGUUCGCGUCCGAUCGCGCGGGAGACGACUCUUUCUCUCUCUCUCCGCCCGAGAAGCGGGGGACCGGAGACGGUCCCCUGCCGUUAAGCGCACGACCUCAGAGCAGGAGAGACCACCCGCCGAAUUUAA